CGAAAUUCCUUGUCGGGUAAGUUCCGACCUGCACGAAUGGCGUAACGACUUCCCUACUGUCUCAACCAUGAGCUCGGCGAAAUUGCACUACGAGUAAAGAUGCUCGUUUCGCGCAGAAGGACGGAAAGACCCCGGGACCUUUACUACAGCUUGGUAUUGGCGCCCGCUAUAGCUUGUGCAGGAUAGGUGGGAGACUGUGAAGCCGUUACGCCAGUGGCGGUGGAGUCGUCCUUGAAAUACCACUCUGGUUAUGGCGUGCGCCUGAACCUGGGCCCGUGAUCCGGGUUAGGGACAGUGCCUGGUGGGUAGUUUAACUGGGGCGGUUGCCUCCUAAAGUGUAACGGAGGCGCUCAAAGGUUCCCUCAGCCUGGUCGGCAACCAGGUGUUGAGUGCAAGUGCACAAGGGAGCUUGACUGUGAGACCGACGGGUCGAGCAGGUACGAAAGUAGGAACUAGUGAUCCGGCGAUCCCGUGUGGGUGGGUCGUCGCUCAACGGAUAAAAGGUACCCCGGGGAUAACAGGCUGAUCCUGCCCAAGAGUCCAUAUCGACGGCAUGGUUUGGCACCUCGAUGUCGGCUCGUCGCAUCCUGGGGCUGGAGUCGGUCCCAAGGGUUGGGCUGUUCGCCCAUUAAAGCGGUACGCGAGCUGGGUUCAGAACGUCGUGAGACAGUUCGGUCCCUAUCCGCUGCGCGCGUUGGAGAAUUGAGAAAGGCUGUCCUUAGUACGAGAGGACCGGGACGGACGAACCUCUGGUAUGUCAGUUGUACCGCCAGGUGCAUGGCUGAUUGGCUACGUUCGGGAGGGAUAACCGCUGAAGGCAUCUAAGCGGGAAGCCUGUUUCGAGAUGAGUUCUCCUGGCACUCUUUGUGGUGUGUGAGGCUCCUUAGAGAUGAUGAGGUUGAUAGGCCGGGUAUGGAAGCGUUGUAAGGCGUGGAGUUGACUGGUACUAAUAGGCCGAAGACUUAUUCAC
rnacentral:rRNA from 1 species